rnacentral:rRNA from 1 species
GAUGAACGCUGGCGGCGUGCUUAACACAUGCAAGUCGAACGGAAAGGCCCAAGCUUGCUUGGGUACUCGAGUGGCGAACGGGUGAGUAACACGUGGGUGAUCUGCCCUGCACUUCGGGAUAAGCCUGGGAAACUGGGUCUAAUACCGGAUAGGACCACGUCUUGGAUGUUGUGGUGGAAAGUUUUUUCGGUGUGGGAUGAGCUCGCGGCCUAUCAGCUUGUUGGUGGGGUAAUGGCCUACCAAGGCGUCGACGGGUAGCCGGCCUGAGAGGGUGUACGGCCACAUUGGGACUGAGAUACGGCCCAGACUCCUACGGGAGGCAGCAGUGGGGAAUAUUGCACAAUGGGCGCAAGCCUGAUGCAGCGACGCCGCGUGGGGGAUGACGGCCUUCGGGUUGUAAGCUCCUUUCGCUAGGGACGAAGCGUUUUUGUGACGGUACCUGGAGAAGAAGCACCGGCUAACUACGUG